rnacentral:rRNA from 1 species
ACGUAUGGUGCAAGCGUUAUCCGGAUUUACUGGGUGUAAAGGGUGAGUAGGCGGUCAUGCAAGUCAUAUGUGAAAUGUCAGGGCUUAACCUUGGCGCUGCAUAAGAAACUGCAUGACUAGAGUGCAGGAGAGGUAAGCGGAAUUCCUAGUGUAGCGGUGAAAUGCGUAGAUAUUAGGAAGAACACCGGUGGCGAAGGCGGCUUACUAGACUGUUACUGACGCUGAGUCACGAAAGCGUGGGGAGCAAACAG